rnacentral:lncRNA from 1 species
GGCAGGGGACACUCCUCAAGCAGGACUGGAUUAAUCCAUGGGAGCGAGCAGCUGAGCCGUGAGAAGCCAGAAAGCCUGAUGUGGUCCACCCCUUUCCCUGGAAUCACUCCUUUCCAUGUGGGCUGAAUGCCCACGUGCAGCUGUCUGAUCUCAGGAUUUCUAUCAUCCAGAGUAUUCUCUGGAAGCUCCAGCGGGGUUGGCCCAGCUCCUGGCUUCCUCUCCUGGCAACAGCCUCAGGUCUUUUUGAUGAAUUGAAUGAGAAGUGGAGCCCUCAGGUCCAGUCCUGAUCCUGCAGGUAAGCAGGUGCUUGCUCAUGAAGCUUACACAGAACUCAUGUGACCACGAAGCCAAGGUGGCCGAGAGAAGGCAGCUUCCUGGAAUCUCAGCCUUCCACCAGGCCAGGAGCCAGUCUGCUGCUUCUGUCUGCCUGUACCAAGCAUCUCCCUCAGAGGGAGGAGCCAUGGCCCCAGAAGAUGCUAAGCACUAAAGGAGGCCAUAUGCUUCUACCUUACCAGGUUUUCCGAUGCCCGUGGAGGUCAGAAGAGGGUACCGGACCAAUGGAAUUCAGGUGGCUGUGGUGAGCGCUGUGGGUUGUGAGAACUGAACCUGGGUCCUCUGUAAGAAGGACAAGAGCUCAUGACUGCUUAUCUUCUCUCUGGCCCCUCAUUUUACCUUCACGGGGUCUUGCGUGGCCCAGCCUCACCUCUGAGCUGCUGCUCAGAGAAGGUGGUGGAGAGACUUCAAAGAAUGAAACAAGAUGGCGUGACCCCGGGCCCUUUGAAACUGAGCCAGACCUGGAAUCCAGCCCCUGCCUGCUUUCUUCUGCACUGAAGAAUAAGGACCUUCUAAGCCUUGUGUAUCCGCUCUUCCUUAGCCUGGGAUCGGGGGUUCAAGACCAUUCUCGCCCACUACACAGCAUGUGUGGAGCUGGGCUGGUCACGUGAGAACCCUGCCUUAAUUAAUUAAUUAAUUAAUUAAUGAGUUU